ACAGGCAGGGAGAGCCUCCUGGUGAGGUUGCAGCCAAUUGAUAGAAGGAGUGUUUUGAGAAGAAAGGAAAAAGAUCAAGUAGCAUGGCUGAAAGCCUGGGGGGGUGUGCAGACAUCUAAAUGAAACAACAAGGUUCAGGACUCGUGUCAUCUUCUUCAGGCACAAACACCUGCACUGAAGAAAACUUUUCCAGACUAUCACAAUAGCAAAGUUGUUGCACUUUCUGAAAAUGAUUUCUUAUAAACGUCAAUCUGUAGGACAUGCGUGAAGUCAAGAUUCCCAACCCAUUCACAGUUAAAGGCUUCAAGCUGCCCCUAAGAAGUUCUUCCAGAUUGGUUCCUUCCUCCAUCCCAGGAGAUGUUCAUGUGAUGAGGAUCUGUGAUUGCGGAAGAAAAUAGCUAAGAAACAUAGAAAUGGAAAUGAGGACGCAGAGAGAGGCAGAGCUGUUCACUCAGAGAGAAGAGAACUGUCUGUAGAUUAUAUACUUGUAGCCAAGAGUUGUUUCUUGCUGGCAAUCACUGUAGUUACAAUCACCCAGAAACUUCAGGAGCCCAUUCUACAAUGUCUCUGAACUCCAGAAUGCAUUCAGGAAUGAAGAAAUGGAAUAAUUCAAAGGGAAAGAUGUGUUAGUCUUCAUCUGUACCAGAACAGUACAGGUGAUUAAACACCAAAUAGAGGUUUACAAAAGAACACAGCCCUAAGCUAUAUCCAGCAACUCCGUCUUUCUUUGUAAAAAAUAGCUGAAAAAUAUUCUAAAUGUUUUUCAUAUUUUAAGUCAUCACAUUUAUUUUUCCAUCAUUGUCUUCUACUAAUAUAUCAUACGAUUC
ensembl:lncRNA